GCAAUGCCGCGUGCAGGAUGAAGGCCUUCGGGUUGUAAACUGCUUUUGUACGGAGCGAAACGGCUCUUCCUAAUACGGAGGGCUAAUGACGGUACCGUAAGAAUAAGCACCGGCUAACUACGUGCCAGCAGCCGCGGUAAUACGUAGGGUGCAAGCGUUAAUCGGAAUUACUGGGCGUAAAGCGUGCGCAGGCGGUGAUGUAAGACAGAUGUGAAAUCCCCGGGCUCAACCUGGGACCUGCAUUUGUGACUGCAUCGCUAGAGUACGGCAGAGGGGGAUGGAAUUCCGCGUGUAGCAGUGAAAUGCGUAGAUAUGCGGAGGAACACCGAUGGCGAAGGCAAUCCCCUGGGCCUGUACUGACGCUCAUGCACGAAAGCGUGGGGAGCAAACAGGAUUAGAUACCCUGGUAGUCCACGCCCUAAACGAUGUCAACUGGUUGUUGGGUCUUCACUGACUCAGUAACGAAG
rnacentral:rRNA from 1 species